rnacentral:rRNA from 1 species
GACGAACGCUGGCGGCGUGCUUAACACAUGCAAGUCGAACCGAAAGGCCCUGCUUUUGUGGGGUGCUCGAGUGGCGAACGGGUGAGUAACACGUGAGUAACCUGCCCUUGACUUUGGGAUAACUUCAGGAAGCUGGGGCUAAUACCGGAUAGGAGCUCCUGCUGCAUGGUGGGGGUUGGAAAGUUUCGGCGGUUGGGGAUGGACUCGCGGCUUAUCAGCUUGUUGGUGGGGUAGUGGCUUACCAAGGCUUUGACGGGUAGCCGGCCUGAGAGGGUGACCGGCCACAUUGGGACUGAGAUACGGCCCAGACUCCUACGGGAGGCAGCAGUGGGGAAUAUUGCACAAUGGGCGGAAGCCUGAUGCAGCAACGCCGCGUGCGGGAUGACGGCCUUCGGGUUGUAAACCGCUUUCGCCUGUGACGAAGCGUGAGUGACGGUAAUGGGUAAAGAAGCACCGGCUAACUACGUG